UUUAAUUAAUGUUCAAUAUAUUUUGAUGUACAUUCAGUUGUAAUGUUAGCAGUGAUAGCAGAAAUGAAAUAAUUAAAUGUUUCAUUGCUUUUUCACCACUUCAUAUUGUAAUUUUAAAAUUUCGUAUAAGAAAUCAUAAAGACGUCUACAAUAACCAGCUUAGUCAGGAUUUAGAAGUUCAUACAGUCAUUUACCAUACUUUCAUGAAGAUCAUACAGGGCAAAAUGAAAUUAAUGUCAACAAAAAGUACUUAUAUAUAUACAUGUAUAUUAAUUUACAAAGACACUAUCUUGAUUACAUUUUAAAGUUGUAAAGAUACCAUUCUAAUUUAAAUGUUGAAUCCUAUAGAUUGGCGACACUACUUUAGAAGAUCAUGCAUUCAUUUACCAAACUUGGAAAAUACACAAUAAAACCUAUUAUUGUUUGUCUCAUUCAUGCUAUCGAACUUCAUUGGGUCACAAUAUAGCGACCUAUAUUGCAAUAUGAUCUGCGUCCGUCGUCGUCCGUCUUUUUAAGGCGUUUUAUUUUUUUCCAAACUUUUAUUUAUCUACGAUGGUAUAUUUACACGGUGGUAUAUUUAGGACAUGGAAAUAUUUUUUUACUUCUUAUUUUGGGAAAUAUUAUCUCGUUCGCACGACUUAUUUUCUAAGGAAAUUAUGUCGUUCGCACGAGAUAAUAAGUCGUGCGAACGACAUAAUUUCCUUUUUUUUUUUUUUUUUUUUAUUUUUUUUUUUUUUUAAAAACCAUUUAUUUUGUGCAGUAAUUUUUAAAUACCAAUCAGUCUAUUACUGUAAAGAAAUCAAAGAACGUAUUUUUGAUAGAUAUUGAAAUGUGUACAUGAAAGGUGAAGAUAACGAACAGUGAUCAAUCUCAUAACUCCUAUAAGCAAUACAAAAUAGAUAGUUGGGCAAACACGGACCCCUGGACACACAAGAGGUGGAUCAGGUGCCUAGGAGGAGUAAGUAUCCCAUGUCCCAUGUAGUUAAUUUCUUUUAUUUUGCAAUGGUCCUUUUGUUUUCCGAAGAAAUAACUAGUUAAUUCCACUUACACAAAGAGUACUAUUAGAGGCACAUGAUCAAAUUUUCCAAUAAUUCACAGAAUUCAAUAUAAUCUAAGAUUAAAUUCUAUUUGCAUUUUCUUCAAAUUAAAUUUAUUGUAUAUAGUAUUUGCGAUUUCAGUUAAAAUAUUUAAUUCUAGUUGAACCUUGGGUAUAUCAACUCGGAAGAGUUCUUAGUGAAGGACAUCAACAUGGACGGGUGUAGACACAUCAUCUGAAGUACCAGCUGCAGCUACUUGCUCAGACCUAUGGCGUGUAAAACGUUACACUAUUAUACUAAUCUUGUUAUUCAUAUUCGAAAAGUUGUAUAUGAAUCACAUGUUUUUGAAUAUGAAUGAAAAGUUUAGAAUAUAAAUAACAAUUUAUUGAAUAAGAAUGACAUGUUUUUGAAUAAGAAUAACACGUUUUUGAAUAUGAAUGAUAAAAUUAUCGAAUAUGAAUAACAACUUUUCGAAUAUGAAUGAUAUGCUUUAGAAUAGAAAUUACAAGUUUUCGAAUAUGAAUAACGAGAUUAGUAUAAUAGUGCAACGUUUUACACGCCAUACAGACCCGUUGCUGGUAUAUGGAUGGGACAUUUAAGGUUGUACCAGACUUCCUCAAACCCAGAGGACACUUGCUGUCCAUCCAUGGAUUUGUGCGCAGAGAUGGCCAGGAGCAGCAAUUCCUUCUGGUCUUUCAAGGCAUCUUGUCUGCUCUGCCCACCCCACCAUCCGUGGAGAUGUUUAUGGAGCUUGGAAAUCUAUCCACAGCACCUUUCCUGAUGCUACCAUCAAGGGAUGCUGUUUCCAUUGGUCUCAAGCCCUCUGGCGCCGCUUUCAGGACCUUGGUCUGGCACCGACUUAUAAGAAGAGGGGAGCAACCCUUCAAUACUUAAAACAACUAAUGGCCCUUCCAUUCUUGCCACAUCAAGAUAUUGGGCCAGCAUUCCAGACCCUUACUUGCCGGACUAGUACUGAGGUCAUUGGUAGGAUAUAUGGAUAGGCAGUGGAUGAGGUCAUUGGUAGGAUAUAUGGAUAGGCAGUGGAUGAGGUCAUUGGUAGGAUAUAUAUGGAUAGGCAGUGGAUGAGGUCAUUGGUAGGAUAUAUAUGGAUAGGCAGUGGAUGAGGUCAUUGGUAGGAUAUAUAUGGAUAGGCAGUGGAUGAGGUCAUUGGUAGGAUAUAUGGAUAGGCAGUGGAUGAGGUCAUUGGUAGGAUAUAUGGAUAGGCAGUGGAUGAGGUCAUUGGUAGGAUAUAUAUGGAUAGGCAGUGGAUGAGGUCAUUGGUAGGAUAUAUGGAUAGGCAGUGGAUGAGGAAUCCUCUUUUCCCACCAUCUGCUUGGUCAGUCUAUCGUCUGCCAGUACGGACCAACAAUGAUGUUGAAGGCUGGCAUCAUCGAAUAAAUGGAAAGGCGGGACACCGAGGAUGCGGGUUUUAUGUUCUCUGCCCUCUCCUCCUGCAAGACGCACGUCUGGUGGAGAGUAGAGUCCACAGCGACAACAUCUGUCGCAAUGCGAGUAAGAGCACGACAACUGUGCAGAAGAAGCUCGAUGUAGCGUGGGACAAAUACGAUGUUGAUGAGGUGAGCGCUGGACACUUUCUCCGAAUAUGCGGAUCAGUCUAUGCCCCCGUGUCCAACAAAAUGUGCAAUGUGUUAGUGAUGUGAAAUUUCAACAUAAUGUGUAUGAUCUGUGGUACAGUGUAUGUUAACUAAAAUAUUUAUAUGUAUUGUGUAAGAAUGUAAAGUUUAAAAAUGUACUGUGCUGAAUUAACCUUUUUCAUUUGAAUGUUGUGUAUUAUUUAUAUUGGUAAAUAUGUAUGAAAAUGUGAUAAGAGAACGUGUGUGAAAUACCAAUAAAAAGAUAACAUGUA